rnacentral:rRNA from 1 species
GACGAACGCUGGCGGCGUGCUUAACACAUGCAAGUCGAACGGAAAGGCCCUGCUCUUGUGGGGUGCUCGAGUGGCGAACGGGUGAGUAACACGCGAGUAACCUGCCCUUGACUUUGGGAUAACUUUUGGAAACUGGGGCUAAUACAGGAUAGGAGCUCCUGCUGCAUGGUGGGGGUUGGAAAGUUUCGGCGGUUUGGGAUGGACGCGCGGCUUAUCCGCUUGUUGGUGGGGUAGUGGCUUACCAAGCGUUUGACGGGUAGCCGGCCUGAGAGCGUGGCCGGCGACAAUGGGACUGAGAGACGGCGCAGUCUCCUACGGGAGGCAGCAGUGGGAAGUAUUGCACAAUGAGGGGAAGCCUGAUGCAGCAACGCCGCGUGCGUGAAGACGGCCUUCGAGUUAUAAACCGCUUUCGCCGGUGACGAAGCGUGAGUGACGGUAAUGGGUAAGGAAGCACCGGCUAACUACGUG